CUACGGGGUGCAGCAGUGGGGAAUUUUGCGCAAUGGGCGAAAGCCUGACGCAGCAACGCCGCGUGCGGGAUGAAGGCCUUCGGGUCGUAAACCGCUUUCAGCAGGGAAGAAGUUGACUGUACCUGCAGAAGAAGCUCCGGCUAACUACGUGCCAGCAGCCGCGGUAAUACGUAGGGAGCGAGCGUUAUCCGGAUUUAUUGGGCGUAAAGCGCGCGUAGGCGGCUUGCCAAGCGGGAUCUCAAAACCGAGGGCUCAACCCCCGGACGGAUCCCGAACUGGCAGGCUCGAGUUCGGUAGGGGAAGAUGGAAUUCCCAGUGUAGCGGUGAAAUGCGCAGAUAUUGGGAAGAACACCGAUGGCGAAGGCAGUCUUCUGGGCCGCAACUGACGCUGAGGUGCGAAGGCUAGGGGAGCGAACAGGAUUAGAUACCCCGGUAGUC
rnacentral:rRNA from 1 species